AGAUGAGCAGCAGCGUGUCUCCUCCCCUUGUUAAAUGUUGUACUUUGUGGAUACCCAUGAAUCUUGUAACACUUAUCAAUUAAAAGCCCAGAUUUUUUGCAGUAUCUACAGAAUAAAGAGCCUCUAGCUUGGUCAAAAUUAACUCUUUGUCUGAAAGGAGAAGGAUUAUGCACUGUGACCUUAUUGAUUCCAACUGAAUGUUUAUUUGUGUGGACAUUGAAAGACAUAGAGUUUGGAUUAAAUUGAGAAAGGG
rnacentral:lncRNA from 1 species